rnacentral:rRNA from 1 species
UACGUAGGGGGCAAGCGUUGUCCGGAAUCAUUGGGCGUAAAGAGCGUGUAGGCGGUCCGGUAAGUCGGCUGUGAAAGUCCAGGGCUCAACCCUGGGAUGCCGGUCGAUACUGCCGGACUAGAGUUCGGAAGAGGCGAGUGGAAUUCCCGGUGUAGCGGUGAAAUGCGCAGAUAUCAGGAGGAACACCGAUGGCGAAGGCAGGUCUGCUGGGCCACUACUGACGCUGAGAAGCGAAAGCAUGGGGAGCGAACAGG